rnacentral:misc_RNA from 1 species
GUAGGUGAACCUGCGGAAGGAUCAUUGGGGAGAGUGGGGUGAUGAGGGGAGAGAAGAGUUGGAAUGAGCAAUGAACCAAAUUAUUAUCUAAUUCAACAAACAAACACAACUGCUGACAAUGGAUCUCUGGGCUCUU